rnacentral:rRNA from 1 species
UAAUCCGACCUAGGCUCAUCUGAUAGCGCAAGGCCCGAAGGUCCCCUGCUUUCUCCCGUAGGACGUAUGCGGUAUUAGCGUUCGUUUCCGAACGUUAUCCCCCACUACCAGGCAGAUUCCUAGGCAUUACUCACCCGUCCGUCGCUCUCAAGAGAAGCAAGCUUCUCUCUACCGCUCGACUUGCAUGUGUUAGACCUGCCGCCAGCGUUCAAUCUGAGCCAGGAUCAAACUCU